GACGUAGGAUGCAAGCGUUGUCCGGAAUUAUUGGGCGUAAAGAGUUCGUAGGCGGCAUACAAAGUCUGAUGUUAAAUCUCGGAGCUCAACUCCGAUCCAGCAUUGGAUACUUGUAAGCUUGAGUGCAGGAGAGGCAAGGGGAAUUCCCAGUGUAGCGGUGAAAUGCGUAGAUAUUGGGAGGAACACCGGUGGCGUAAGCGCCUUGCUGGACUGUUACUGACGCUGAGGAACGAAAGCCAGGGGAGCAAAUGGG
rnacentral:rRNA from 1 species